rnacentral:lncRNA from 1 species
ACGACCCUAAUGAACUCUUUUCAUUCCUCCUUCAAAGUGAACCUUUAAUCAGUAUUCCAAUCCCUCUAAUCUCCUCAAAUUAAUCCAAAUUCUACAAUUCCAGCUUGAGGAUUUCAGUUCUUGUAGUUUUCCAGCAGCGACCUUCGGCGUUUUGGCUCGUGUGCGACGUAGGGGAAUCGGAUUGUUACGAAACUUGAUU